UCGAUUUUCUCCAUCGAUUUGCGUCACAAUUUCGCUCUCCCGAUAUUCGCAAUAUCAUUUUUUCAACCGAAAAUACGAUUUAAUCUCAUUGGGUAAUGACUGCUGCAAUGAUCAGUUAGUCUGGGAAAUUUAUACCUGACACCCAUGAAUUUUUCGCAUUGGUCUAAUUAUCAUUCACCGUUGGAUAAACACUUAUUAUCGUCGUAAACUCAUUGCAUAAUUCGCGGUGAGCUGGUGAUGCUUGAGGACGAAGGACCCUGACCUGUCCCAACAAAAUUACUCCGUGUACAAUAUUCUUAAUUUUUCAUUUGAAUUUUUGGUAAGCCACUGGGAUUCUUUCACCUUUGGGAAAGGCAAUUUUUCGGACAUUUCUGCUCAACCAUUUUUUAAAAAUCAAUUAAAAAUGGCGAUCAUUCUUCUCAGUCUUCAGGGAUUUCAUCAUCUUCAAAACAAUGAAGAUUUUUUGGAAACUUCGAGCAGACUAGAUGGCGAGUGAAGUCUCAAGAAAUUUUCCAUUCA